rnacentral:rRNA from 1 species
GAUGAACGCUGGCGGCGUGCCUAACACAUGCAAGUCGAACGGAGAUUACGGACGGAAGUUUUCGGAUGGAAGACUGUAAUUCUUAGUGGCGGACGGGUGAGUAACGCGUGGGCAACCUGCCCUAUACAGGGGGAUAGCAGCUGGAAACGGCUGGUAAGACCGCAUAAGUCGGCGAGACCGCAUGGUUUUGCCGGGAAAUGAGCAAUCAGGUAUAGGAUGGGCCCGCGUCCGAUUAGCCAGUUGGCAGGGUAAAAGCCUACCAAAGCAACGAUCGGUAGCCGGACUGGGAGGGCGGACGGGCACAUUUGGACUGAGACACGGCCCAAACUCCUACGGGAGGCAGGAGGGGGGGAUAUUGCACAAUGGAGGAAACUCCGAUGCAGCCACGCCGCGUGAGUGAAGAAGUAUUUCGGUAUGUAAAGCUCUAUCAGCAGGGAAGAUGAUGACGGUACCUGACUAAGAAGCCCCGGCUAACUACGUG